UAAUAGGGGUGAAGUGAGAAAUAAUAUAAUAUUGUUAGAAUAUUUCCAUUUUUAGAAACAGGUCAAGUAUUAAGGGACGACCCGAUAAGGAAAACAGGUCAAGUAUUCCGGGACGGAGGAGUAUUAUCCUUGAAACUACGCCGUAUAUAUUAUUUUCGUACUGCAUUAUAUACGAAUAUAUUUUUGGUACACAUGGUAGAGAUUAAGUCAAAAGUCUUACGUUAAGAUAAUUUUUACCUAUUUUUCUCGUAAAUACGUUAAUAUUAGUGUGCACCCAACAAACGCACGUGCGGAAACGCUGGUUCAAAGGAAAACCCCCCUCACUCUCUACUGCCCUUUUCUCUCUCAACGCCUUUUCACGCUUUCCUUCUCUCUCCUCCUGGUGGAUGAAAAAUGUUGAAGAAAAUUCAACAAAGAAACGGACGAACAAUUGAUGAAUCUAGCAAACACGAAACUGAAGGUAAUUGCAAAUUCAUCCAGAAAAUCGUCUUCGACUCGGGGUCCUAAACCCUAAUCCCAAAUUCUUCGAUCUCUGGGUUCCAAGCCAGCAAGGGAAAAGCCUUUACAUUAGACUUCAUGCUUGAAAAUAGCAGAGGAUAUAGCACAAGGCCUAUCUUAUAUUCAUCAAGCUUGGAGAUUAUUCCACGGCAACCUUAAAUCCUCUAAUGUCCUCCUUGGUUCUGACUUUGAGGCAUGUAUUACAGACUAUUCCUCAAGUGUUUUGACUGAAAAGUCAUUAGCAGGUGAUGAUCCUAGCUUGUGGUCAUAUAAAGCACCAGAGAUCCGUAAGUCUGAGUGUUGCUGCUUGAACUCUUGACAGGAAAACCACUUUUUGAGCAUCCAUAUCUGACUCCAAACGACAUAGUACACUGGGUAAGAUCUGCAAGAGAUAUUGCAGAUGGUGGUAGUGACGAGAAUAGGCUUGUGAUGCUUCUUGAGGUAGCCAUAGCAUGCAGUGUUGUCGCAUCCCCGGAGCAAAGGUCUAACAUGUGGAAAGUUUUGAAAAUGUUGCAGGAAAUCAAGGAGGUGGCACUGAUGGAAGAAGAUAAUGGACCACACUCUGGUGAAGGGAUGAAAUCACGUUAAUAAAAAAUAAAAAUAAAAAUGUAGCACAGGCGUAAACUCCAGAGAAGACAGGCUUGAAGUGAAAUGCAGACUCUCGAUCAAUGGCCUAUGUAGGAUUCGAACCUACAUCAUGUGCAAAAGCACAUAACUCUACCAAUUGAGCUAAUAGGCUUUAUUAUUUGAAACUCAUUUUCACAGCAUAUUUUACACCCAAAUCCCCAAUUCUCAAAACCCUUAAAGACCCUUAAGAAAUAAACACUCUUUAGAAUCAAAGUAACCCAAUUCUUCCUAGAGUGACCCUUUUACAUAUAUAUGACUCUUUUUUUUUUGGGCAUCGUGACCCUUAAACAAGAUAAGCAUCCAUUUUGAAUCGAA